rnacentral:rRNA from 1 species
GACGAACGCUGGCGGCGUGCCUAAUACAUGCAAGUAGAACGCAGUUGCGAACGGGUGAGUGACGCGUAGGUAACUACUUGGUAGCGGAGGAUAACUAUUGGAAACGAUAGCUAAUACCGCAUACUACCAGAUGGACCUGCGUUGUAUUAGCUAGUUGGUGGGGUAACGGCUCACCAAGGCAACGAUACAUAGCCGACCUGAGAGGGUGAUCGGGCACACGGGGAAUGGGACACGGGCCAGACUCCUACCGGAGGGAGCCGGAGGGAAUCUUCGGCAAUGGACGGAAGUCUGACCGAGCAAAGGCGCGGGAGUGAAGAAAGUUUUCGGAUCGGAAAGCUCUGUUGUAAGAGAAGCGGUAUCUUACCAGAAAGGGACGGCUAACUACGUGCCAGCAGCCGCGGUAAUUC